rnacentral:rRNA from 1 species
GAUGAACGCUGGCGGCGUGCCUAAUACAUGCAAGUCGAGCGAACAGACGAGGAGCUUGCUCCUCUGACGUUAGCGGCGGACGGGUGAGUAACACGUGGAUAACCUACCUAUAAGACUGGGAUAACUUCGGGAAACCGGAGCUAAUACCGGAUAAUAUAUUGAACCGCAUGGUUCAAUAGUGAAAGACGGUUUUGCUGUCACUUAUAGAUGGAUCCGCGCCGCAUUAGCUAGUUGGUAAGGUAACGGCUUACCAAGGCGACGAUGCGUAGCCGACCUGAGAGGGUGAUCGGCCACACUGGAACUGAGAAAAGGUCCAGACUCCUAAGGGAGGCAGCAGGAGGGAAUCUUCCGGAAUGGGCGGAAGCCUGACGGGGCAAAGCCGCGUGAGUGAUGAAGGUCUUCGGAUCGUAAAACUCUGUUAAUAGGGAAGAACAAAUGUGUAAGUAACUAUGCAAGGCUUGAAGGUACCUAAUCAGAAAGCCACGGCUAAAUAAGUG